CCUACGGGUGGCUGCAGUGAGGAAUAUUGGUCAAUGGUCGUAAGACUGAACCAGCCAAGCAGCGUGCAGGAGGAAGGUACAGUGUGUCGUAAACCGCUUUUGUCAGGGAACAAAGUCGGGGACGUGUCCCCGGUUGAGUGUACCGCAAGAAAAAGCAUCGGCUAACUCCGUGCCAGCAGCCGCGGUAAUACGGAGGGUGCGAGCGUUAUCCGGAUUUAUUGGGUUUAAAGGGUGCGCAGGCGGUCUGUUAAGUCUGCCGUGAAAUGCCGGGGCUCAACCCUGGCCCGGCGGUGCAAACUGGCAGUCUUGAGUGGGCGAGAAGUAUGCGGAAUGCGUGGUGUAGCGGUGAAAUGCAUAGAUAUCGCGAAGAACUCCGAUUGCGAAGGCAGCAUGCCGGAUCCAUACUGACGCUGAGGCACGAAGGCGCGGGUAUCGAACAGGAUUAGAUACCCGAGUAGUC
rnacentral:rRNA from 1 species